GAGUAGCGAGAGGUGAGUGAGAAUCUCACCCGUCGAAAACCCAAGGAUUCCUGAGGAAGGCUCGUCCACUCAGGGUAAGUCGGGACCUAAGGCGAGGCCGAAAGGCGUAGUCGAUGGACAACAGGUAGAAAUUCCUGUACUACAAGAUUGUGAUUGAGAGAAGUACUGACGCAGAAGGAAAAGUCGAGCGUGUGAAUGGUAGAACACGUCCAAGUAACAAGCCAGAAUAUACAGGCAAAUCCGUAUAUUCGCUAACGUAAGUUAUCAUGGGGAGCAGAAAGAUGCGAAGCGACAGAUUCAAACUGCCAAGAAAAGGUGCUAUCGAAUAAUCUUGUACCCGUACCGCAAACCGACACAGGUAGGCAAGAAGAGAAUUCUAAGACGCGCGGAAGAACCUUUGUUAAGGAACUCGGCAAAAUAAUCCCGUAAGUUAGCGAGAAGGGAUGCCUAAGAAAUUAGGUCGCAGAGAAUAGGCCCAAGCGACUGUUUACCAAAAACACAAGUAUCUGCUAAAUCGAAAGAUGAAGUAUAGGUGCUGACACCUGCCCGGUGCUGGAAGGUCAAGGGGACUUGUUAGAGCAAUCGAAGCAACGAACUUAAGCCCCAGUAAACGGCGGCCGUAACUAUAACGGUCCUAAGGUAGCGAAAUUCCUUGUCGGGUAAGUUCCGACCCGCACGAAAGGUGUAACGAUUUGGGCACUGUCUCAACAAAGGAUCCGGUGAAAUUGUAGUAGUCGUGAAGAUGCGACUUACCCACGGUAGGACGGAAAGACCCCGUGGAGCUUUACUGCAGGUUGACAUUGAAUUUUGGGAUUAAAUGUACAGGAUAGGUGGGAGACGAAGAAGCAAGCUCGCCAGAGUUUGCAGAGUCACUGUUGGGAUACCACCCUUUUAAUUCUAAAGUUCUAACUAGUUGCCAUGAAACUGGUAAUAGGACACUGUCAGUCGGGCAGUUUGACUGGGGCGGUCGCCUCCAAAAAAGUAACGGAGGCGUUCAAAGGUUCGCUCAGAAUGGUUGGAAAUCAUUCAAAGAGUACAAAGGCAAAAGCGAGCUUAACUGCGAGACAUACAGGUCGAGCAGAGACGAAAGUCGGACUUAGUGAUCCGGUGGUACCGAGUGGAAGGGCCAUCGCUCAACGGAUAAAAGCUACCCCGGGGAUAACAGGCUUAUCU
rnacentral:rRNA from 1 species